UUACUAAGUUUAAAUGAGGUUAUGUAUAUCAAGCACUUAGAAUAGUAUAUGGCCCAUAGUAAGUCCUCAAUAAAAGUU